UUUGAUCCUGGCUCAGAUUGAACGCUGGCGGCAGGCCUAACACAUGCAAGUCGAGCGGAAACGAGUUAUCUGAACCUUCGGGGGACGAUAACGGCGUCGAGCGGCGGACGGGUGAGUAAUGCCUAGGAAAUUGCCUUGAUGUGGGGGAUAACCAUUGGAAACGAUGGCUAAUACCGCAUAAUGCCUACGGGCCAAAGAGGGGGACCUUCGGGCCUCUCGCGUCAAGAUAUGCCUAGGUGGGAUUAGCUAGUUGGUGAGGUAAUGGCUCACCAAGGCGACGAUCCCUAGCUGGUCUGAGAGGAUGAUCAGCCACACUGGAACUGAGACACGGUCCAGACUCCUACGGGAGGCAGCAGUGGGGAAUAUUGCACAAUGGGCGAAAGCCUGAUGCAGCCAUGCCGCGUGUAUGAAGAAGGCCUUCGGGUUGUAAAGUACUUUCAGUUGUGAGGAAGGGGGUGUCGUUAAUAGC
rnacentral:rRNA from 1 species